rnacentral:misc_RNA from 1 species
GGGAUACAAGAUUCAGGUGUCUAUCAAUAAACAUUUUAUAUAAAGGACUUCAACUCAAUAAGGAUCCAUGCACAAGAUCUGCAAUGUGUAGCUCAUUUAGUCUUUUGGAAUGAUAAAAAAUUUGGCAGAACAAAUCAAUAAAAGAGAAAUAAUGGAAAAUUCCUACUGAUUAAUUGGUCAAAAUCAUGAGUGAGGUCCUAAGAACAAUUCAAGCAUAAUCUCUCAUCCAUUGACAAUUGUUUCACGUAUCAAAUUUUUGCAUAUGGAAAAUAAAAAUAAUAAAUAGGAGUGGCAACUUCAAAUAAAUCCAUGAACACGAUAUAAACACAACAAGAAAAUAGAGGAUUAUGAUUGAGCUUACUUGUAUUCAUGUUGAAAUCAUGUUGACUAGAUUGUGUCAUAUCACGGGUUGACCUGUUAAUCCAAUUUGACUCAUUUAUGCUAUAAUUUAUUAAUCAUGUCAUGUGUGUCAACCCAUGACCUGCUAACUCAUUUUGAUCUACUAACCCGUAAAUGGCAUUAUUAGAAAAUAAUAAAUUAGUAAAUAUAAGCCUAAUUAUUUGUUAUAUUAGAGAUUUGUUGUUGUGUUAUGGUUGAUUUGUAUUUCUAAAACAGAAUAGGAAGCUUAUUUUAUUAAGAAUUUUAAUUAUUAUAGAAAUAGAAAAUUUAAAGAGUUCUUAUUGUUUAGGAAUUAUAUUAUUAUUAGGUCCAUUAUUUCCUAAUUUAUCUUAUUU